ACUAGACGGCCUCUGCAGCCACGCAAGUUGCCCCUCAGAACAAAGCAGGGUUUUCCCCCAAACCAUCAAAACCUUAAGGAAAGCUGUAACCAGAUGAAGUCCCCCAAGGAAGCGUUUUUACUUAAACACUGAUUCUUAACCCUGGUUCUUAGCGUUGCUCUCGCCCUGCACCUCUGCGGUUCCCUCCGCCUCCUUCUCAUCACCUUUUUCCUCCCCUCCCUCUCCUUUCCUCCCUCCCUCCCUCCGUGCCUCAGCUCUCCUGCCACCGCCCCGCUCCCCGCCCUUAGGCUUAGGCCCUCCUCAGCCUUGUGCUCUGCCCCCCUUUAAGGGGGAGGGGGGGGGGAGGGGAAUGCUGUGGCUUUGAGGCUGUUUAUUCUAUGGCUCCCCAGGAACGGCAAAGACGCUGGUUGUUCGUGCUCUUGCUAACGAAUGUAGCCGAGGUGACAGGAAAAUACCGUUUUUUAUGAGAAAAGCUUCAGACUGCCUGGGACAAUGGGUGGGGGAAUCAGAACGUCAGCUUCGCUCGUUAUUUGAACAGUUCCAUUGUCUCAACACUUCUGACACUUCUGGAUGGCAUAGACAACAGAGGGGAGAUUGUGGUAGUCGGAGCCACCAACAGACUAGAUUCUACAGAUCCUGCUUUACGGAGACCAGGACGCUUUGACAGAGAGUUCCUCUUCAACUUGCCAAAUAAAGAGAAAAGAAAUUUUCAAGAUUCAUACUCGUGACCGGAUCCCUAAGCCACCGGACCUGUUGCUUGAUGAGCUAGCUGAGAAAUGCAUUGGUAAUGUGGUGCAGAUAUAAAAUCCUUAUGUGCUGAAGCUGCGCUGUGCUCUCUGUGUCGACGCUAUCCUCCGAUCUACGCAAGUGGGGAGAAAUUGCGACUAGACGUUAAUUCCAUGAAAAUAAAAGCAAAGGCUUUUUUGAUGGCUGUGAAGAAGGUUGUUCCAGCUUCAAACAGGAUUGUGGCUUCACCUGGACAAGCACUAUCACCCAUUUUUAAGCCGCUUUUUGAAAAUUCAGUAGCGAAUAUUUUACAAGCCGCGCAGAAGACAUUUCCGCAUGCAGAGCUUGCGCUAAAGAAGGACCGACAGCAAGACAAUUUAGAUCCUAUU